GCCGGCGUGGCGGAACUGGCAGACGCACAGGACUUAAAAUCCUGCGGGACUUACCUCCCGUACCGGUUCGAUCCCGGUCGCCGGCA
rnacentral:tRNA from 11 species